UGCUCUCAGAUUGCAUAUGCUGUUUGGAAUAUGUCUCAGUAUUCGGCAGUCGCUCAAUAUUAAGUAAGCCAACCUACUCAACUGUCCAAUCGAUGGGUGAAUCUCAGCCAAACGUAUACAACAACCAAGAAGUAAUUUCUCGAGGUUUGGUACUCCUGUAAAGUUUGGAGUUGUCGUCAGGAAUUCACAGCCAUCGAGAUUCAGGAUCUUCAAUUGUUCUAGAAACUGUAGAAAUAAGAAAGAUUAGACAUUAGACAACCUGAAUUAGUAAAGUAAAAUAUGUACAACUUGUAUGCAUUUUAGAAAUUUAAGAUAAACAAUGAGGCAUGAGUAAUGUCAUACCAAGAUACCAUGCCAUAAUAUAUUGAUUUUGCUGUACUUUAAGUCGAGGAUAACUAGCUUUUCUGGAUGAAAAUCAGAUGGUAAACACUGUAAAUUACAUUUCCGCCAAGAUAGCCACCUUAACUCUUCAAAUACGUGUUUGAAGUUUCCGGUGAGAUGUACAUCAUUGAUGUCAAGCAAUCUUAAUUUGUGCAUCUUUUUAAAUGUUUUGGUAUUUAAUGUUACUCGUUGUAGCUUCCCUUUGCAUGGGAUGAUACCUUCAAUUGCUUCUGUUCCCUAAAAUAAAUCAAAAAAAUAAGAAUAAAAUUGAAGAGCAAAUGAACCUCAUAAUUUCAUCUAAAACCUUACUGAAAUAAUAAAAAGUUGAGUAUAUUUAGUUACCUUUUGUUUUUCCAGCACGUUGCAGAUAUCUUCACUAGACCACAAUCGACUGCGUUUUCCUGACUCCUUUGGGGACUCUUUAUUGACAAUUUCCCUUCCCAUGUCCCGAAGAAUAUCAUGCAUUCUCAACUCGUCGUUAUCAUUAAUGGAUAGUAAACAUCUUUCUAUUAGAAUGAUAAUUGCAUUCUCUGAGUUGAAACCACAAGAAUCUAAUAUACUAAUUGUCAUUUCUUUAUCCUUUCCGAUAAAAAAACAUGCAAUAUCAAGGAAAACAUCCUUCAAGUUACCAUCACCUAAUGCAUGAUAACUUAUUAUGAGUUUUUUCUGAAUCUCAUGUUGCGAAAUUUGUUCCAAUUUAUCGAGGGAACUUCUCCAUUCCACCAUGGUUCUUUUAAACAAAUAUGAUCCUAGAACCUCAAGAGCUAAGGGAAGUCCUCCAGCUUGGCGUACAAUGCCUUUCGAUAUUUCCACAUAAUCUUCUGAUGGUACGGGUUUUUUAAAGGCAUGUUGACUAAAAAGUUCCAAAGACUCUUCAUCGUCCAGUUCCCCUACAUUAUAUCUCUCUUCUACUUCAAUUUGAUCUAGUAAACCUGCAUCCCUUGUUGUUAUAAUAAUUCUACUUCCUAAAGAAAAUUGGUUCCAUUGUCCUGCUAGUUGAUCUGAUUGGCUUAAGUGGUUCAAAUCAUCAAGAACAAUGAGAACUUUUUUAAAACGAAGCCUUUCUUUCAGUAAACUGAUUCCUUUAUCAACAUUUUCAACAUGAAUGUCCUUUUUUAAAAUGUCAGAAAGAAGCUGCCCUUGUAAACGAAGUAUACCAUUGCGUUCUUCUGAAGCUUCUCUGACGUUUGAAAGAAAGCAGCUACCUUCAAAGUACUGAAAGUUCUUAUUAAAGAGAGCUUUGGCAAUGGUUGUUUUGCCGAUUCCACCCAUACCGUAUAUCCCAAUCCUGCGAAUAUCAUUAGUACCAAUGCUCAACAAUGGUGUUACGUAUUCUACACGAGAUUCUAUUCCUACUGGUUGUUUGGCAAUAUGCAAACAGACGAGGUUUACUUCAAGUAGGACCUUCUGCACAAUUAGCUGGAUCAACUUUUCCUCAUGCCUGCCAAUUAUUAUUAAAACAGAACAUGAUAAGCUGAAGCAAAAUGGUUGAAUCAGAAAUAUGAAAAUCAAUCAUUUAUAAAAUGUGAAAUAUAGAUGCUUAAACUUUUCACAGUACUGUGUGACUAAUUGUUUUGUAUCUCUGACUUUGGUAAGUUAGCUUUCAAACUGCAAAGAUUUACCCACUAAUAGAUUUGUUAUCUUCCAAGCUAUGAGAUUACAAAAAAUAAAUUAAAAAAAUUAGGCUCUUAAAGGAGAACAGAUAAAGCAGAUGCUUGCAAAGCUGGAAGUUGAUAUAAAUUACAAGAUUUACGCAGCAAAUAACUUGAACCAUUUGUCCAUCAAAAAAACACCGGAAUAAGCGAUAUUUUUUUGGGGUGCUAAUUUGACACACACUACCACACACACAGACUCAAUGAUUGAACCCCCAGCCGCAUGGUAAACAUGGGUUGGGUCAUAUCACUAGGCCAAAGGUAGAAUAAGUGACAUUGAUAAGACCAAUAGUAUGCAAAUUUCGUUAAAGUAAUGAUCUUUUCUCCUGUGAAACUUUGGUACCCAUUACCCUUAAUAAGGGCAAUUGAAACCAAUAUUGUAACAAUUAUAAAAGUGUCCGGGUUAAUAAAAGAUAUAGGCACACCAUUGGUCAUAGUAAACAAUUUCUAACUAAAAUAAAUAAUGAAAAAGGAGAAAGGUUGUGUAGUUUUUACCCAUUUGCAUCAUUUUCCAGAUCAUAUCCCGAUAGAUUCGCAGCUUCAGUUAGCGCACCUUCCCAUUUCUCCACUAUUUCCAUGUUAUUCCCAAAUCUCUCUUUACGACUUUCAAAAGCUUCCGCAAAGCUUCCAGUCUUAUAACGCACAACCGAUGGAUCAACGUUAUAAAAUACAGGAAGAAGUAAUUGUCCCUUUGUUCGCUUGCAUUCGAGGAUCUUCACUAGCUCAUCGAGGCACCAUCUCGAAGAAGCAUAAUUUUUGGAGAAAACAACAAUAGAAACCUUUGAUUCUUCGAUUGCUUUUAGCAGUUGCGGUGAAAUUUCUUCUCCUCUUGGUAGUUCAGGAUCAUCCAUAAAAGUUUGGAUUCCAGCCCGGUCUAAAGCCGAGUAUAGAUGACCAGUAAAGGUUUUGCGUGUAUCUUCACCUCUGAAGCUCAAGAAGACGUUCCAACGAGGAGUUGAAGAUGAAGAAGAAGAAGAAGAAGAUGAUGAUGAAUCAAUUUGGUUACUUGUAGAAGCCAUUGAAAUAAGGAGAUGGAAAUGAUUAGAAGGGAAUCAAGAUUGGAAUAAUUAAACGGGGAAAUCAAAAGCUUUAUGUUACUAGGAACGGAAUGAUAAAUGGAAAUAAAUUUAGAGCAAAGACUUGUGAGUCUACCUUAUUUUCUAGUCUAGUUUUAUUGAGGGACGCAGAAAUUUCUCGUACUUUUUGAAAGUUUGAGAAGUUGUGCUUAAUUCUUUUAUGAAAGUGGAGGAAACUUUACAGUUCACAAGACAAAUAGUCGGUCAUUAUGUGGUCCCUCGUGGUUGCAAUAAUUCAAAGCUAUUACCCGCGUGGUCCCUCAUGGUUUCAUGGUUCUGUGUGCUUUUGGGAAAAUAGACUUUUUGGUCAUUGUAUUUGUGCUCGAGUUUCAUUGUGGUUAUCAAAACUUUUUUGUUACAAUCGUGUUUUACUCUAAAAAACUUACCAAAUAGUAAUUACUUAUGAUUUUCGUCCAAAAAACGGACAAAAGUGCUGAGUAGACUAAAAUUUACUAGGUGGUUGAUGAGGUGACACGUAUGCUCCACUCCUACGUAGAUUUGGAGGGAAAUGUCCCUCUCCUUGCACCGAUUAAUCUGUUUAUCUCUUAAUUUAGUUACUCGAACCAAAGUUGAGAGCAAAAAAAUUCUAGACCAAGCUCUGAGAGAUUUCGUCCAGGGACGGAGCUAGAAUUUGAUCUUAGGGGGGGCCAAAAUCAAAUUUCCAGUCUUCAGACUUUUUAAGAUAAAAGGUUAUGCCAUUGAGCUUCCCAAGUCCUAACUCCAGAAAAUAAUUCCCACCAAUCCUAAUUCCUGGCAUUAUUUCUUCUAACCACAUGUCCACAAUCCCACUGUAUUUACGAAACAGUCCAUUAUCUCCACCAAUCCUAAUUCCUAGCAUUAUUUGGGACUUGGGAGUGCAUAUAAAUCUCAAUAAAAGCAAAUCUAACAUCGCAAAUACACAAUGACAAAACUUUGUUUGUUGGUGUGUAUUGUGUAGUGGAGAAUUGAAGAUAAUGAAAUGAAAUGAAUUGCCACAAGGCCCACAAAGCACAAAUUUAAUCUCACAAUUCAAGUGAGUGAGCCUUAGUACUUGAAAAUUUUUAAAAUCUUGGGGGGGGGGGGGGGCCAUGGCCCCCUACAAAAAUGGCUAGCUCUGUCCUUGAUUUCGUCUAAAAGAGUUGUGCGAUUUCUCAGAGAUUAGCGAGAUCGGUUGAAGAAAAACUCAGUUCCUCUACAGGUAAGUCAAUCCUACUCUCAAUUUCUUCUCAUCUCAGUUCUAGGGUUCAAGUAAAAGAGGGGUUUUUGAAAUUUUGAAAUUUCAUUGGAUGUAAUUGGGUCAAAUACCCCCAAAUCCAUGUUUUUACUCAAUUUGUGAUCCCGAUGGUCCUCUGCUGUUGUUUUCUUGUACAUAAUUUAGAUGGUUAAAUUAUUUGAUGGUGGCCCUUGGUUUGUCUGCUGAUGGUGGCCCUUGUUUGUCUGACAUGCGUAUUAGGUUAUUUAUAAAGAACUCUGCCGUGGCCCUGUGUUGUCUCCCAUUCUAACUAUUUUAUAUAAAGUAUUAUAUGUCUUGUCUCCCAUUCUAUGCAUAUUUUGUGACUCUCCCAAAAUAGGUAUAUAUCACCCAAAAUAUUAGAGAAUUUGCUCAAUUGAAUAAUAAAUUCAAGAAACUUGCAUAAUGUAAAAGUAGAGUUUAAGAAAUUGUAUAAUCGUAAUUAAGAUAGGGUAGGGAACUUGCUUCGUGCGUAAGCUAUACAAUUUACAACUCACGUUCCCAAAUAACCAUUUAGAAUCACAAUACCAAUUAAUUGUAAUGUAACUAACAUCUUUGGUAUACUUCUCUUUUAAUCUUAACUUUAGAUUUGACUAUAUUAAUCACAUAGCACAAACUUAACUCUUAAACACAUUAUUAACCUUUCGAACAACGAAUUUAAGUACACAUCCAACUUAUUAAUUAAACACAUGAAAUCAUCAUUUACGUGUUAAUAAUAUGUUAUAGUAUCUUGUUACAUGUCUAACACAUUAUCAGGUUCAUUAGAUUAAGUUAACUCAUCAUGUUAUGGUCUGAAAUCAACACAAAACGAAACAGCUCCUUCUUUGCAUUUCUCGUCGGGGAAAGAUUUUGUACUAGACAAAGUUCGCCGGGGAGGAAGGCCGCCAGGGCGCAUAUCCUAACGCUGAGAACCUCGUCGAGGUGAAGAUUCCUAUAUUUGAACUCUGCAACUCGCGGACAUACAUGCUUUCAAGCCAAAAACUCGACUUUUAACACACAAAACUCUAAAUAGAAAAAGGUUCAAAAAUGCCCUUGACGUUUAUCCCAAUAUCUACCGAGCACCCUAUACUUUUUUUUCUCCCAAAAAUACCCUUACGUUACAUUUUUUGGGUCAACCGUGCCCCUGCCAUUGGCAGACAUGCCAAAUAGACAAACGAGAAUUACACUUGGACAAAUUUCGGUGACACGUGGCAAGAUUCGUUGACGUGUACAAACGGGAGUUACACUUGGACAAAUUCCUUUUGUACAUAAUUGCCAGAUAUACAUAUUAAAACUAUCAACUUAGUUCUAUAUAUAUACAACUUCUAGUUCACAAAAAUGUAAUCCUUCGCAUGUCUUCUAAUCUUUAUCGUUCAGAUGAUAAGAAAUAUUGCAUUACACCCUUAACCUGCAAAAAGUUUAUUUUUGCAAGAUUGAGCUCGACAGCUCAGCAAAUUUAACAGCUUUCAUUCUUCACAUAGCACAUAAUUUCAUGCUCAGUUCAUAUCUCAUGAUUAUCAUAAUUCUAAACAAUAUAAUUCAUAUGUUUAGCAUAUCACAUAUCACAUCAAGACUGAGUUCCAAAACUCAAUCAAUUUCAGUGAUAAGUUGACUUUCACAAUUCAACAAACAUAAAGUAUAAUUUAGCAUACUUGUGAAAAUCUCAUAUAAUAUCAAGAUCACAUAACACAAAGGAACUGAAAAACUUGUUUGACUUAGUAUCUCUUCCUUGAGUAUGCGAAUAAUCCUUUACGAAUGUUUAUCUUCUUGCUUAGCUUCCUUCCUUUUUUCCUCUUGCCAAAACCGUGGCCCUCUCCUUUCCUUUCUCUUGCUCUCUCAAAAUUUCUAACAAUUAGUAGAAGUGUGAAAAACUCUUCUAAAUAAAUUAAUGGCCUCUAUUUAUAGAAAGUCUAAGACUUAGAGUAUUAUAGUCAUUUAGCCUCCAAAACUUUGACUCCAAGAUAACCAUUCUUUGGCUCCAAACCAAGCCAACUUUUGGCUCCAAGUCUUCAAGCCGUCUAAUUCUCUAGCCAAGCCACUUUUCUUUCCUAAGCUACUAUAAUUUAUUUUAAUAUCAUUUAUUUAAAGUAUACAAUAAUUUUCGUAUACUUAAACUAAUUAUUUCUUUUCGUAAUAUAAAUAAUGUAACAAUUUAUUUAUAUAUAGUAAAUAUAAUUUACAUAUUUACCAUAUUCUAUACACGCAUUACGUUUUUUCCGAAAAUAUAGAAGCUAUAAUAUGUUUCAUGUAAUAUUUUCACCAUAGUUAAAUUUUAUAAAUAUUUUAAUUUAUUUGAGUAAUGAAUACAACAAUUUAUAUUAUCAAUUUUAGUUACCUCAUUCCCUUUAAUAAAUUAUUUUUAAUAAAUUAUUUUCGUAUAAUAAAUAUAUACUCAUAAUAUAUAUUUAUUAUUCACAACAAUCGUAUAUUGUAUUGCAAGUAUUUAUUUAUGCAGUACAUAUCACUUAAUAAAAAUUUUCUUUAUUUAAUAAUAACAAAAAAUUUGGGUCGUUACAUGAAGCUCAUCUUUUUCUUGCUUUAAAGGGGAAUUUGGAUCGAUUCACGUUGGGCACAAAGUUUCAGUCUCAUUUCCGUUGGAAUGUCCGCUCUCUGCUGCUCUCUUUCAAUUCGGUAAGACCUUAGCGAGGGUCAUGAGCCGACCGUAGUUAUAGCUAGUUUGGGCGCACUCAGUAUCAGUAUUAGCUCUCUUCGCUCCCAUUUCUACUUAAAAUGGUUGUUAUUUUCCCUUUUCUUUGUUCUUGUCUUCCCCACCCAUUUCUUUUCCACUUGGCUUCUGCAACCUCUGUUGUCGCCUUGUUUUUCACUUAUAAAUCAAUUAUCUUAUACUUUCCUUCUUUAAUUAAUUUUUAUUUUUUGAAAAGCACUAGUUUUUCAUGUUAUCUUUUGAUUAGAGUAAAUAAAAGUAUCUCUGAGCUUCAUGGAGGCGAAAAGCAAUUUGACAUUGGCUUUUAACUUCUGGUGUGUUUGUAAAAUUAAAUUCUAUACUUAUGUUCGGAUUAAUGUGAUUUGUAGUCUCUGUAUUUGAUAACUUUGUGUUCCAUCUGCUGAGUGUCCUUUACCUGAAGUUAUUGGUCGCUUAUAGAACACUAAAUGUAACUAUAUGAAGGAGGUUGACAAAGAAUUUGGUAUACCAGUUCAGUUUCAGCGUUUCUGGAUUUGGGCAAAGAGGUAAAAUCAUACUUACCGCCCCAAUCGACCUUUGUCACCACAUGAGGAAGCACAAUCGGUACAUACUAAGCAUUUACUUGUGCUAUAAUUUUUACAUAACUUGGUUUCAUGACAUGCUUGGGCUACAAGUUGGUUCUCAAAUUUGAUAGUAGAAAAAAAUUGAAUGCCAUUGACAAACAUAUAAUUGAAUCUCUUAAUGUGGUGAAAUCUUCUAAAUUGUUUUUCAAAAAAACCUAUGAUGAAAGCUCAAAAUAGUAGGGUCUUUUUCUUUAUCAGCAAUUAUUUGCACCUGCAUUAUCCUUUUCAUUUGUGUUUUUCACAAGGAUCACCAGGACCCUAUCCCAACAAAUAGCCAUUAGCUAAAAUUCUCAUCUUGGACUAGUUAUUGCAUCUUGCUCUGACCAUAUUUAAAUAAUCUCUUACAUGUGAUGGAGGAACUACAAGUUUGGAAAUGUGGGUAGCUAUAAACUUGCCCCAACAACUGUAAUAGGGUAUAGUAUGGUUGGUUUAGGAAAUCAGGAUGAUAGGUUGAGGAUUGUAAGAGGUGAAGUGAUUAGGCUUGUCAUCAUAGGGAGAAACUCUUGUAUUUUGUUUUGGUUUUCCUGUUGUUUCUUGCUUCUUUUCCCCCACCUUUGUUUUCUCUUCCCAUCUGUAGUAGACACAUAAUACUAGGUUCUUUUUGUUUAAUGGAUUGGACCGUGGGACAUGCGGUUACCAAAAUUAUAGUCUUGGUUUAAGCGUUUCUGCACUUGCUGCUUGUUGUUUCUUCCUGAUACAACUGACUAUCUGUGCUGCUUUCAUAGUACAUCUCACUUCUUGGGAGUUUGUCAUCUUUUUACUAAAAUGCAAACUCAAGCUUUGACGUGAUCUGGGUUAAGUGCAGGUAGCACACGAGCCAUCAAAAAGUACACUAUUUUAGCUAAUGAGUUAUAUUUGCAAAUGCAGGUCGGACAGUUGAGGGAGGUUUUUAAUAAGACACAAUGCAGAGGUGAAGUUGUUUUUGGAAAUCGAGCCUGGUCAUGUAAUGUUGCCUUGCCAAUUUUUGUAGCCUAUUACAUUACUAAUUGACCUUUGUAUAGAAUGACUUUUGGAAAUCUUGAUUUCCUGUACUCUUGCCUAUUCUCAAUUUUUUUUGCAGGACCUACAUCCUAUCCCACCACCAGACAAAACUAAAGAGGAUGUACUUCUUUUCUUCAAGGUUUAUGACCCUAAGAAAGAAGAGCUUCGGUAAUUCGCAACUGCUUUACUUUAUUUUUUGUUAAAGCUAAAGCCCCAAUGUAAAUUUGUUCUUCACACACUCCCAUUAUAAGUGCACGUUUCUCUUCCAUUAUGUUUAUAUGGUAUAUACAUUGUGUAUAAUUUCCUUACAUCCUGAAAAGAUGAGACACUUUUUUUGGCACAAAUUUCAAGUGUGUCGAAAAUAUUUACAUACUUUUAUAUUUUUAAGAUAUUUUCAAUAAAUUUGAUAUUAUAUAUUUUAAAAUAUAUUUGGUAUCAUAUUUUAAAAUAUAUUAAACAUGUCUUGAACAUAUAUUGUAUACAUAUGUUUAUGGCACACCCUAUAAUUCAUGUCAAAGGAACCCCAAGAAAAAGGGUCUGUCUCUGUGGUGCAUAAGUAAUACUUGUUAUUAGUUUCUGGGGAGAUAUUUGUUGGCCAUUAGCUUUAAUGUUGUUCUUACUUUCUACCAUCAUAUCGAAGAGUAAUGGGUGUUUGUGCAAAUAUUAAAAUGCAGGGGUUGUGUUAAAAUGUAAAUGUGCAUGGGUGGAAGAGUAAAUUACCUUCUAUUUUCUUUUUGUUACUAUUUCUUAUAGUGCUAAAUGUUCUGCAUUUUGAUCUGUUUCAUAUAUCUAGAUAUGUGGGUAGGCUUUUUGUAAAGAGUUCCGGAAAGCCAGUUGAGAUCUUAACAAAAUUAAAUGAAAUGGCGGGAUUUGACGCUAAUGAAAAAAUUGAACUCUCAGGUUUGUUUUUUCAUCUGAUUUCUACUGUAAAUAUGUGAUUGGAAUUUUUAUUUUGGCAGAUUUUGUUUUUUGCAUGGUGAGACAUGUCAUGAUUGCAUACGACUUUUGAUUAUAAACUUGAGCAAAAUGACGUUGCUCUUUGUGGAUCGAGUAAAUUAAAAUUUAUGAUUUUUGUCAUUUGUUUUAUUCCAUGAUUGUCUCUAUUCUAUAUCAUUCUGGUGGGAAUUCUUUACAGAAUUAUGUUUGUGAAACAUUUACCAUAUGUUAAUCAUUAAAAUAUUUUGUGUAAUAUAAUUUGUUCAGGAUGUUAAAUUCGAGCCUUGCGUCCUGUGUGAACGCCUUGACAAAAGAGCUUCUUUUUGAUUGAGCCAGGUAUAUCUAAUUUUGUUUCAGUACUUGGUUUUAAAAUUAUAGCAGUGGUGUUCACUGUGUUAAUGAUAAAUUAUUUUCAUUGUUUGCAUAUUGGCAAUUUUUUUGGUUAAAUUUUAAGGUCAAAGUUGCAUCAUAUGAUGACGUGGUCGAAAGAGUGGCUCAGAAACUAGGUCUGGAAGAUCCUUCGAAAAUCAGGCUUACUCCACACAACUGCUACUCUCAACAACCUAAACCCCAUCCUAUUAAAUAUAGAGCAACAGAGCAUUUAUUAGACAUGUUGGUUCACUAUAAUCAGGUUGAUGUCACAUAAACUCUGCUUUAUUGGAUUCAUGAAGCUGGGAUAUGUUCUAUUUUUUUAUUCGAUCAAAUACCAAGUGUUAGAUAGAGAUGAAAAAGUAAAGAAAAUGGGGAGAAAUUAAGAUUUCAAUUACUUUCAAGUUUAACUUUUAUUUGUUUUCUUAUGGGCAGAUCUCUGAUAUUUUGUAUUAUGAAGUGAUGGAUAUUCCUCUUCCAGAAUUGCAGUGCCUGAAAACUCUGAAAGUGGCUUUCCAUCAUUCAACUAAGGAUGAGGUGUGCUUGAGGCUGAAAAUACCUUCUCCAUUCCAAUGUGCUUGAAUAGUUUAAAAUUAUUUAUGUUUCUUAUAAUGUAUAUGACACUUUUUUCAGGUGGUUAUCCACAACAUUUGACUGUCUAAACAGAGCACUGUAGGAGAUGUGCUUAGUGAAAUUAAGACAGGUAAAUAUUUGCACGGUGCCCAUAGACAAUCUAAACAAAUAGAAUUAACAACCAUUCAGCUUAUCAAUUCAUUGUUAAUCCUACUUCCAUAAGAAAUUAACUACUUUUCCUCAAUCUAAGACUGCAAUUGGGGAAAACAAGCUUGAUUUAUUGUUUCCAUUGAAUGCACUUUAUAUAUCUAUAUGUAAAGAAAUGGGUUUUUAGAAGAGAAUUAGCUUGUAGAAUGGUGAAGACGUGAAGUAAUUUUGCAUUGUACUACUUUUUCUUAAUCUAAGACCGCAAUAGCAAGUCUUUCACUGCCUAUAAUAGCUUAUAUUUUUUUACUGUAUUUGCUUCCUUUUACAGGUGGAAUAUUCUCAUCCCAAUGUGGAGCUUAGACUGCUUGAAGUGUUCUAUCACAAGAUUUACAUGGUAUAAUGUAAUGUGAAGUGUGAACAUGAAUUAGAUUUGGCCUUCUGGACCUUUUAUUAAAAAUUGCAAGGAAAGACAAACUCUACAUUAGUUUAUCAUAUUUCGAAACCUGGUCAACGAUAAGGAUCUCAUAGUUUUCCUUGUGGUGUUCUUCUUGCCUGUAUGUUCUUCGUUGCUAUCCACCUUUGGUCUUGUAGGAACUCUUCUAAGUAUAACUCUUCCAUUAAUCUGUCCCCUUUAAGUUUGUUAUUAUUAUUAUUAUUAUAUAUAUAUAUAUAUAUCUAUAAUAUAAAACAGAGCAGAGAGAGAAAUACAUAACUGUCCCAUCAAGUUCCACAUAAGCCGCUUUCUCUCAUUCUCCCUUAUUCAAAUUUGAAACGCUUUGUCUCUCUCUUUGUUCUUAGACAAAGAACUCUUAGCUCUCAGACCCAACUCGAUCCCUCUCAACUCCCCUAAAUCUUUUCUCUCUUACCCAGCCCUAAUUCCAGCCCCAAAUCUAUCAUACCCAGCCCCUAAGUUACGAUCAGACUUGAAAAACCCAUCACGCAGAGAGAAACGCGAAGCAGAGAUCAACGAACUCCUCUUGGCUCUCCUCUUCCUCGGCACCUUAGGUCGUGCUGAUCGACUUCCAUUUCGAUACCCACCAGCCCACUGGUCCAAGAAUCCACGUCGAUAAUCUUGGUAUGGGGGAAAGGAUGGGGGAACGACCUAACGUGAGCAUGGGGUGGUGGUUAUCGCCGUUGUUGAUGCUACUUCUUCUAAUUCAGAAGAGUGACGGCAUAUGGCUGAGCUUACCGGCGACGGGGACAAAGUGUGUCUCAGAGGAAAUCCAUAACAACGUCGUCGUUUUGGCCGAUUACAUCGUAAUUUCAGAUGAUCAUGUUCAUCCAAUGCCCACCAUCUCCGUCAAGGUAAUAGUCCCCAUAAAAUUUAAAUUUUUAAUUGAGUUGGUUCUCUGAUUUUCUUCUAUGAAUUGUGUACACGUAUGUGUUUAUUGGAAUUGGUUUAUUUAAUGUGUAGAAAAUUAUUGAAUUUUGCCCCAUGAAUUGAGAUUUUACUUAAUUUAGUGGUAAUUUGUUUGGUUUUAUGUUUAUAACAGUUUGAUGCAACUGUAGUUUAGUGUUGCAAUUUCUGGCUUGAGGUAUCAUGUGCCCAUUUCUUUAUUUUAGAAAUUUGAUAGUGGAUAAUUGUGGUUUAGUUAUGUGUCAUUGUUUGGAUGCUUCUUGGCUCACUUGAAUAUUUUUCAUUUAUUAUUACUUUUUCGAAUAGCUCAUAAUUGGAAUAUGGACUACAGUACAUGAGAGAACAAAUUGUUGGCUAAGUUUAAGGACAACUGUAUUGAUAAGUUGAAGGAUUAUUAUAGAAGGAAGGCAUUUAAUUAAGGGAUCUAUGUCUAUUGUCUUCAAGUGAGGAAGUUCUCUAGGGUCAUGUUUUUUAAAUUUACCAUUGAAUUCAGUCUGUAUCUUAGUAAAUGAACCCCCUCAUACAGGAUUGAUAACUAUUGGCAUCUAACAUAAAGGUUAGUACAGGCCUUUCUUCUCCGUAUCUUUCACUUCCUCAAAGCUACUUGUGGUCACUUUGCUUCUAAACUUUAUACCGCAAGGUUAUUACUGCAGUAAAUCUGAAAUUUCAGAUCUUUUCCCUCUUACUACUCACUUAGGAUGUUUCUUUUUCGUAGUGCAGAAAUUUAUUCUAUACGUUGACGUUUCUUUUAGUACUACCUUUAGGAGUCUUGAGUUUUGAUAGUGGUGGUUACGAGCAUUUUGCUUCAGGGAUUUUCUAUUGCAGAACACAUAAUUGUCUAAAUGCAUGUACUAAUUGUGUGUGCUUUACUGCUUGGGACAUUAAUUAUUUUCUCAUAUAAUUAUUUACAUAUAUACACGUAUAUAUGAGUCUGUUCAAAUAAACUAUUCCCAUUCUAAUACUAGGAAUACCUAUUACCAAGUGUUAAGCUUUUAAAAGCAACCAAAGCUGAAUGAUUUCUCAUUUAUCAAUUACCAUUGUUUCCAGUAGGCAAUGGAUGCUAUUUUAUCUUGGCAACCAAUUCAAUAAACUACUUCCGAACAAAAACCAAACAACUCAAGAUAAAACAAGAUCAUAGGAGCCUGCAUAUGUAAAAAAAUAAUCAAAUAGUAUGAUGAUAUAUACCAAGGUAAUUGCGAUUAAACUAUGUCAACUUUUUUCCAUCAUAACAUCGUAACGUGGGUAUGUAUGUUUAUUUGAAUAAAUCACAUUGCAUUGAUGAAUUAAAACUGUAACUAUUUUGGUUAUAAACCUCUCCAAACUCUCAUCAAAAAUUUAAUUUGCUAGAGACUUGGAACUAUAUACUUUAUCAAUUUUUGAGUUUCAAUUGUAUUGUUGCUGCGCAUCAGUAAUUUUUCCCUCAAAACUUGUGUUGAUCCAGUGAACAGCACAGAAUUCUAGCUGCUUAUUAAGAAAACAGUUGUUUGGAUAGGGAGGAUUGUUCCUAAUUUUUUGAUGAUGUUUUCUGGUGUAUUUCUUUCAUUCAGCUCCGGAAAAUUGAAGUUUAUAAUUUUGAUGAGUAAAUGCCUAUUUAUUUGAUUUUGUUUAAAAGAAGGCUCACUUUUUCAAAAGAGAAUGCCUUUUGGGUUUGUUUGGAAUCAUUUCUUCUUUUUGGAGUUAUGUCACUCCUAACUUUUCCUUUUUGAGUCCAACCUUCUCCAGUUUCCACCUGACCUCCUUUAUUCUGUCUGUCUGUCUCUCUUCCUUGAUAGACAUUGCAUAAUUUAUCUAUACAGUGCGUAGCAUAAUUUCUAGUUUUCUUCUCCCAAAUUUUUAUCGAAAUGGAUGGUAAUAUGCCGAUAGCAGGCCCAAGCUUGUAGCUUGUUCGUCUGAAGGGCACUAUGGUCAUGUGGAUGGGAAACCAAGAGAAGCAAGGAUGCACCAUCCAAAAGGGCAUACAGUGGACGAUAGAGGAAAUAUAUAUGUUGCAGACACCAUGAACAUGGCAAUCAGGAAGAUCAGUGAUGCAGGUAACUUUUUGUCUAAGCCUUGCUUGCUCAAUGAGUGGAUGAACUCUUCAACUAUAUGUACUUGAUGUAUAAUCAUUCACUUGUUUAGUAAUUGGAAAAACUCUUUCAAACCUAUCUAUUUCCUUCUGAAUGUCCCCUUGGCAUUUAAUUAAGGGAUCUAUGUCUAUUGUCUUCAAGUGAGGAAGUUCUCUAGGGUCAUCUUUUUUACAUUUACCAUUGAAUUCAGUCUGUAUCUUAGUAAAUGAAUCCCCCCAUACAGGAUUGAUAACUGUUGGCAUCUAACAUAAAGGUUAAUACAGGCCUUUCUUCUCCAUAUCUUUCACUUCCUCAAAGCUACUUGUGGUCACUUUGCUUCUAAACUUUAUACCGCAAGGUUAUUACUGCAGUAGAUCUGAAAUUUCAGAUCUUUUCCCUCUUACUACUCACUUAGGAUGUUCCUUUUUCGUAGUGCAGAAAUUUAUCCUAUACGUUGACGUUUCUUUUAGUACUACCUUUAGGAGUCUUGAGUUUUGAUAGUGGUGGUUACGAGCAUUUUGCUUCAGGGAUUUUCUAUUGCAGAACACAUAAUUGUCUAAAUGCAUGUACUAAUUGUGUGUGCUUUACUGCUUGGGACAUUAAUUAUUUUCUCAUAUAAUUAUUUACAUAUAUACACGUAUAUAUGAGUCUGUUCAAAUAAACUAUUCCCAUUCUAAUACUAGGAAUACCUAUUACCAAGUGUUAAGCUUUUAAAAGCAACCAAAGCCGAAUGAUUUCUCAUUUAUCAAUUACCAUUGUUUCCAGUAGGCAAUGGAUGCUAUUUUAUCUUGGCAACCAAUUCAAUAAACUACUUCCGAACAAAAACCAAACAACUCAAGAUAAAAUAAGAUCAUAGGAGCCUGCAUAUGUAAAACAAAAAUCAAAUAGUAGAUCCUAGGCACUAUGCAUAAGUUUUAACAUAUAUCUAUACCAAAUACUUAUCUCAUCUCCUAAGAACCACUCCUAAGAAACUUUUGGAUGGUUAUAUUUUUUUAAAAGUACGUUAUAGUUUAAGGAGAGUAAGACACGACGUAACGAAAAAUUGUUAUAAAUACCUAACCUUAAAAAGAAUUUCGGGUUGAGGUCUUAUAAAGGGUAAUUUGAAAAUUUAAAUAGCCUUUUAUAUCACCAGUCUUCAAAGUACCUUCAAUAAAAUAGCCUUUUGUAGGGGAGGUGCAGAAAAUGAGUAUUAAAAGCUUUAUUAAAUGAGUACCUUCAAUACCCAUAUGUGGUUGGAAACCAUGUUUUAUUCCCCCCUGUUUUUGAUGAAUGUUUUACAUAAAAGUUUGUGGUAAAAGAUUCAAAAUGGAUUUUAAACUGAGUGAUACUGUUAGAUUUUUUUAAUUUGUUAUUGUGAAAAGAUUUAGAAGUAAACACCUUUGUGAGAAGCAAACACUUUUUUAUUGAAUGGGUUUGCUGAACUAUUGAUUAAAAUGGUGGUUUUGUUUAUUUCGGUGGAUUGAGGUUCCAAUUUGGAUGAGUUUGGUUUUUUGUUCAACUUUUAUGGGGUUUAAUGCGUGAUUAUGGAUUUAACUUUUCUUCUCGGCUGUUCUUUUUGAAGAAAUCUCAAAUAUGUUACUUGAAUGGGGUUUAAUGUGUGAUUAUGGAUUUAAUUUUUCUUCUCGGUUGUUCUUCAUGGGUAUUUUUUGUAUGUUUUUUUAAAUCUUUCAUUAGGAGUUAGGACAAAUUGGUACUCAUAUUAUGUAAGUUGUAAAUAGUUUCUUUUUUUUUUUAAAAUUUUUUAAUCUUAGAUGUUUUUUAAUUUCAGUAGGUUGGUUAGGCUGUGAUAAUAUCAUUAGUUUUUCUUGAAUCAAACCCUUUACUGCUCUGCUUCUGUAUUUAAUUUAUUUAAGUUCAAAAUUGAUUGCUAUUUGUAUUUAUUGGCAACAUUAUUUGGUACAGGAAAAUGAAGGUUUAGAAGUUAGUGGCAUUCUUGAAGGAAUACAUGGUGUUUGGAAGUUAGUGGCAUUUUUGAAGGUAUUUACUGCUCUGCUUCUGUAAGCCCUGCUCAUUGUUUUGAUUGAAUGAUUAUUAUGUGUAUACAUGGUGUUAAUGACUGCUUUAAGUAUCAAGAUUAUUAUUUCUUUUGUGAAGCAAUGGUUAAGUCAUAUACAUAAAAAAGUAUACUAGGUUAACUCUGAAUGAUGGUCAGUACUUAUAUUUUUCUUAUCUCUUAAUUGAACUGAUAUACCGUUAUUACUACUGUUAAGAUCAGUCCACAUAAUGUGUCUCACUACUGACUUGAUUUUGGUGAUGCUUGGGAACGGAAGAUUUUGGAUGGUUAUAUUUUUGAAAAAAUACUUUAUAGUUUAAGGAGAGUAAGACACGACGUAACGAAAAAUUGUUAUAAAUACCUAACCUUAAAAAGAACUCCGAGUUGAGGUCUUAUAAAGGGUAAUUUGAAAAUUUAAAUAGCCUUUUAUAUCACCAGUCUUCAAAGUACCUUCAAUAAAAUAGUCUUUUGUAGGGGAGGUGCAGAAAAUGAGUAUUAAAAGCUUUAUUAAAAUGAGUACCUUCAAUACCCAUAUGUGGUUGGAAACCAUGUUUUAUUCCCCCCUGUUUUUGAUGAAUGUUUUACAUAAAAGUUACAUUUUUAAAUGUUUUACAUAAAAGUUUGUGGUAAAAGAUUCAAAUUGGAUUUUAAACUGAGUGGUACUGUUAGAUUUUUUUAAUUUGUUAUUGUGAAAAGAUUUAGAAGCAAACACCUUUGUGAGAAGGCAAAAGUAGUUUAUCUUAUUCUUUGAUUUUUAUUGUUUUCUUUUUAUUGAAUGGGUUUGCUGAACUAUUGAUUAAAAUGGUGGUUUUUUAAAGGUUGAGUGACUCCGGGUUUUGUAUAUUGAAUUUAUUUCGGUGGAUCGAGGUUCCAAUUUGGAUGGGUUUGGUUUUUUGUUCAACUGUUAUGGGGUUUAAUGCGUGAUUAUAGAUUUAAUUUUUCUUCUCGGUUCUUUUUGAAGAAAUCGCAAAUAUGUUACUUGAAUGGGGUUUAAUGCGUGAUUAUGGAUUUAAUUUUGGCAAAAAGCACUUUUAUCCCACUGUGGUUAUAGUGUUUUAAGCAAUUAGUCACUGUGCUUUUAAAAUAUUCAAUUAGCUCACUGUACUUUUUAAAAAUGUUCAAUCAGCCCAUUUUGGACGGACGUUAGAAAAAUUGCACACGUGGCAUUGAAAAAAAAAAUAAAAAAAUCAUUUCCUAAGUGGCAACCUAAUCAGCCAAAUUCUUAAUACUAUUGAGCUACUGCACUUUAAAAAAUGCAAUUGGCCCACUGUGUUAUAAUAUGUAUAAUAUUAACCAAAAAAGUGCUUUUUGCCGAACUUUAAUCUAUUUGUUUAAUCGAAAAACAUGAAACUUGUGUUUCAUUAAUUUCGAACAGUGAUGGUGAGAGAAAGUUGUCAAAAUCAAAUAACCAAAAAAGCCACCUACAGAAGAGUUGUUGCUUUUAUGUUCAUCUUCUUCCUGUUCAUCCAGAUUCAUCAAGCCUAAAAUAAUUCAAACUCAAACUAUUCAUCUUCUUCCUCAUUGAAACCCUGGAAUUUCAGAUCGAGCAAUUUCAUCCAGAUUAGAGAUUUAGAUAGAUACUUAACAAAGCUAAUUCGAAAAAGUAAAGAGAAGAAUUAGGGUUCAAUUUCAGUUUUCGAAGGACGGAAUCGACGAGCUCGUCUGAGAAAUCAAAAGAAAGGUCCUUGUAUUCGUUUUUGAGCGGCAAAUGCGGUCGCAUAAUUCGGUCGGGUUAGCUUGUAUUCGUUUCUGAGCUUCCAUUGAAGGAAUGGUUAUGAGUGGAUUGAGUUUCAGUGAUGGAGGAGAGAGAAAAGUCGAUGAGUGAGAUUGAGCUUUGUUCGGUGGUCUCGUAACUUUCUGAUCUAGAUAUUAUGUGUUUUCUGCAUAUUUCUUAUGUUUGUUUAGGGAAGAAGAUGAACAGUAGGGUUUAUUUAGGGAAGAAGAUGAACAGUAGAAUUAAUAAUGUUUUAUUUAUUUAUGUUUGUAAUUUGCAUUAUUUCUUUUUUGUCUAAAAUUUUUUUUAAAAAAAUUGGUCUUUUACUGUCAAAAUUUUCAAGAUGAACAGGAAGAAGAUGAAUAUAGAUGAAAUUGUUUUAUUUUAGGCUUAUUUAUUCAUUUUGAAGGAGAAAGAAAAUAGGAAUUAUAAAAAAAUAAUUUUAUAAUUAUUAAAAGAAAGGAAAAGAAAAAAGGAAAAGAAAAAAUUAUAAAAAAAUGAAUUAAAAUAUUUAUUUUAAUUUUAUUAUUAUUUUAAUUAUUAUUUUUUUACCACAUAAUGAUUUUAUUAUUUUAUUUUUUUGUUUGAGAAGAAAAAAUUAUAAAGAAAAUCCAUUAAAAAAUUAUUUUGUUGCCACAUAAGGAUAUACCACAUAAUUAAACAUAUGCCACGUAAUUUUUUAUUUUUUUUCAAAAAGCCACGUAAACAAUCCAAGCUAAUUUUUUAACGUCCGUCCAAGAAAUUGGACGGAAUGGGCUGAUUGAACAUUUUUAAAAAGUACAGUGGGCUAAUUGAAUAUUUUAAAAGCACAUUGGCUAAUUGCUUAAAACACUAUAACCACAGUGGGGUAAAAGUGCUUUUUGCCAUUUAAUUUUUCUUCUCGGUUGUUCUUCAUGAGAACUUUUUGGAUGUUUUUUAAAAUCUUUCAUUAGGAGUUGGGACAAAUUGGUACUCAUAUUAUGUAAGUUGUAAAUAGUUUUUUUUUUCUUUUUUUUCUUUUUUAAUCUUGAUGUUUUUUAAUUUCAGUAGAUUGGUUUAAAUUUACGAAUCAACUGAGUUGUGGUUUAAAUUAAAAUUAUUUUUAUCAUGAAUUUUUAAUCAAGUGAAUCAACCGUUAGUAUCAGUUAUACCUUGAAAUCUUUAACUUAAGUUUUCGAAUAGUUUCAGUUAAAAAUUCUUAUCUAUUUCAUCACAAGUCUUCUUAUAAAGUCGACGACAACUUCAGUUUAACUUUGGGUGUUUUAAAUUUAUUUUUUUUACAAUGGAUGUUUAAUCUCUGUCUCUCUCUUUCACAGCAGUAGCACACACACACACACCCCAUUAUACUGCCACCAAUACAGAUUUAUGAUUUAAAUCAUUAAGCAAAUGAACCAUUUGUUAAAAUGGUACUAAGAAAGCUUUAUUUGAUUGUAAGUCCAUAGCUUUUCCUAAAUAAAUUGAUUAUUUGUUACAAUCUCUCUAAAUUCUUACUUAUAUCAAUCUAAAUCAUUCCCCCCCUACAUACAAAUAUGUGUUCUCAUUUGUUUUUUAGAUAAUUCAGGGUAAAGUAAGGGGUCUUAUGUUUCGGAUUUACAAUUGUUUUAUUUUGACUCACAUAUUUCGAUAAUUUUUAAAUUUCAAAUAUUUUUAGGUAUAUAUUGAAGGAUACAUGGUGUAAGCUGUAAAGAAUAUACUUGGUGUAAGCUAUAAAGUAAAGAGUCUUAUGCUCAACAUGUUGUUUCUCUAUUUUUUGCAUUUAUGUAUUCUUUGUGUUCCGUCUUUUGUAAAGUUAGCUAAUUAUACAUGGUUAUGAUGAUUUUGGGUAUGGAAUGAUGGUUUUUUUGGUGGUUUGGAUAUGUAUGGAUGAUUGUAAGUUUUGAAAACAGGUUUAGAUUUUUCUGGAUAUCUAUUUUUAAAGGAAACUCUGCCGAAAUUUCUUGAAAUUAGUAGCGACUAGCUUGAUGUUUUGGUGGUUGGAUGUGUUGAUGAUUGAGUAUGUAUUAAUAUCUUCAUGUAUGUAUUUUUUGUGUUCCGUAUUUUGUAAAGUUAACUAAUUAUACAUGGUUAUGAUGAUUUUGGGUAUGGAAUGAUGGUUUUUUUGGUGGUUUGGAUAUGUAUGGAUGAUUGUAAGUUUUAUAGACAUGCUUAUAUUUGUCUGGAUAUCUAUUUUUAAAGGAAAUUCUGUCGAAUUUUUUAAAAUUAGUAGAGAUUAGUUUGAUGUUUUGGUGGUUAGAUAUGUGUUGAUGAUUGUGUGUUCCGUAUUUUGUAAAGUUAACUAAUUAUACAUGGUUAUGAUGAUUUUGGGUUUGGAAUGAUAGUUUUUUUUGUGGUUUGGAUAUAUAAUGUUGAUUGUAAGUUUUGUAGACAGGUUUAGAAUUUUUUGGAUAUCUAUUUUUAAAUGAAAUUUUGUCGAAAUUUCUUGAAAUUAGUACCGACUAGCUCGAUGUUUUGGUGGUUGGAUAUGUAUUGAUGAUUGAGUAUGUAUUAAUUGUUGUGGUGGUAUGUGUCUUUAGAUAAUGUAAUAUUUUUUGAAUUUUAAUUUAAUUUUUUGUUACGCCGUGCCUUUAGGCACGGAUUAUCGCUAGUAUAUAUAUAAAACUCAACAUAGGUAGGUGCCUAUGCUGCCCAAACAUAGGUCCGCCCUUGAUUUUUCUAUUAUGAAUUUAUCAUUUUCCUAUUUAAAUUUUACCUUUCUAACCAUUCUUGGUGCAUGGGAAGCAAAUUAGAUGGAGAAUUUAAGAAAACAGUUAAGCAACAAACUAGACCAUUUGCUUCAAAAUUCAAACUUCCACCUUCACAUAAAAACAAAAUAUUACACAAUAAACAGAGCCCCUAUCUCUACUAAUUUUCUAUGGUGUCAGUUUUGUAUACACAAUGAACACCAAAUCUCUCCAUUAUGAAAUAAUUACUAGAUAUGGAAGCCUCAAUUUUGUCACCAUAUUUCACUGCAAUUUUUAUUUUUGGUAUGAAGCUCACCCACGAACGCGCUCUAUAGUGCACUGCUUUAUGCCAUGUAUUACCAUUUGUUUUAUUUUCAACACGAGCAUAUGACCCGAGAUAUAUGCUUUCACUAGAAACCACCCAAAGUAUCAUCCCUAAGAAUUUGUUUUCACUAUUUUGUGGCACAUCAAAACAAAUUGUAGAUAGGUUUGGUCCCAAAAUUUGAUGACCAAACCAAUCUGGAAAAUCCUUGGUUGGUAGGUAGAUGUCAAUUUGCUUCCCAAAAUCAGAGUAUACCUGUUACAUAAUUAAAUAUGUACAUUAUAGUCUAUUUGUUACAUUAUAGUCUAUUUGUCAAAAAAUUAUAAAGAAAAUGUGAUAUUUUGAUUUUAAAAUUGGUCCAUGUAACUUUGAAAAGUCAAUUUUGUCAACUAAAAUGGGAUGGAUCUGGUAAUUAAAUAUGAUGAGAGAGAGAGAGGGUAACCUGAAGGAACGUCUCUUUAAAAGAGAUUGAUAGAUUGUUGCAGCCUUCCAAGUUAAUUACUUCAAUAGAAUUCAGAUUUUCCAAGCCUUGAAUCUCAGCCAAUCUACUGCAAUCUGCAAGAUUCAACACCCUUAAGUGUCUCAAGUUUGACAAAUUUGGUAGUCUUACCAUUGAUGUACAUCCCAAUGCAUUUAGGUCUUUUAAAUGUGGAGGAAGUUUUGAGAGUGACCCAAGAUUCUGACAAUGAUACAAAUGAAGCGAUUUUAGAUUGGACAAUUGACUAAGGUUGGAUGGCAAGGUACUAAAAAAGUUGUAAGAUAAAUUCAAUGAUUCUAGUGAUGAUAAACUCCCGAUAUUAUCUAAGAGAACUCCAUCGAAAGGAUCGUUGUCAUUGAGAUUGCACAGAUCCAACGUUCUGAGGGGUAACUUGCAAAUGCUACUUGGAAUACUUUUUAGCUUUUUACAAAAAUCUAAAUUCAACUCGAACAAUUUAGUCAAACGUCCGAUUGAAUCUGGUAAUUUUGUAAUUGGUGUCCAGGCUGCCCUAAGCACCCUUAAGGAUUCAAUGUUCCCCAAUUCCUCGGACAAUCCUUCUAGAUUUGUGCAACUAGAAAGACGGAGACUUUCCAAUACCCUCAAGUUGCAUAAGCUAUUUGGAAGAGUUCUAAGGUUUCUACAACAUUCCAAAUCCAAGUUAACCAACCUACUAAGCUUUCCAAUUGAAUCUGGUAGCUUAAAAAUUCCCGAGUGAGAUGCCAAGAGCUCCCUUAAGCUUUCAAUAUUCCCAAGUUCCUCUGGCAAUUCUUUCAGGUUUGGGCAAAAAUAAAUAAGUAGAGUUUCUAGUGCUCUCAGAUUGCAUAUGCUGUUUGGAAUAUGUCUCAGUGUGUCGCAGUCGCUCAAAUCUAAGUAAGUCAACCUACUCAACUGUCCAAUCGAUGGGUGAAUCUCAGCCAAACGUAUACAACAACCAAGAAGUAAUUUCUCGAGGUUUGGUACUCCUGUAAAGUUUGGAGUUGUCGUCAGGAAUUCACAGCCAUCGAGAUUCAGGAUCUUCAAUUGUUC
rnacentral:lncRNA from 1 species